UUGCUGUGAUGACAAUCUUAGGACACCUUUGGAUUAAUCAUGAAAAGAAAAAUGUUCUGAGCAAC
ensembl:snoRNA SNORD58 Small nucleolar RNA SNORD58